GACGAACGCUGGCGGCGUGCUUAACACAUGCAAGUCGAACGGAAAGGCCCUGCUUUUGUGGGGUGCUCGAGUGGCGAACGGGUGAGUAACACGUGAGUAACCUGCCCUUGACUUUGGGAUAACUUCAGGAAACUGGGGCUAAUACCGGAUAGGAGCUCCUGCUGCAUGGUGGGGGUUGGAAAGUUUCGGCGGUUGGGGAUGGACUCGCGGCUUAUUAGCUUGUUGGUGGGGUAGUUGCUUACCAAGGCUUUGACGGGUAGCCGGCCUGAGAGGGUGACCGGCCACAUUGGGACUGAGAUACGGCCCAGACUCCUACGGGAGGCAGAAGUGGGGAAUAUUGCACAAUGGGCGGAAGCCUGAUGCAGCAACGCCGCGUGCGGGAUGACGGCCUUCGGGUUGUAAACCGCUUUCGCCUGUGACGAAGCGUGAGUGACGGUAAUGGGUAAAGAAGCACCGGCUAACUACGUG
rnacentral:rRNA from 1 species